AACUACAUGGCUUAGAACCGAGGAGAAGGGGUGCAAACUUCUUAGUAAAUUGUGGAGGGGAGACAGGGGGAGGAGAGACUGGAACACAUUUCGAAAUACCGUGAAUGAUGGCGCGUAACAUAUUGAUCGGCUCUUGGAAAUAUGUAUAUAUAUCCACUAGCAAACUUGAUUAAGGCAACCAAAACCCCCUUCCGUGUACAAUAAGGAGGCGCUUUCAAAAGGCAAAAGACGUCAUGCGACAUUUCCGACAUUUGUUGAAAUAUCGAAAAGUAUCAAGAGGAACACCCAUCUGAAUGUAAUCAACUCUAUUUUGGGAAACCAACAUUUUUAAAAUGCAAACUUUUCCUUUCCAUUCACGAACGGAAUAACGGAACAAACGAAAAAAAUUGGAAAUAAAACUAGAAAGUUUGGAAAUUCAUGUCUCGUCGAUAUCAGUUCACUGGUUUUCCCUCAAUUAAGCUCCUGGCAUUUUUUCACGAAAAUCAAUAUUGUGACCAUUAAACCGUGGAAAGAAUAGAAUACAGAACAUUAUGUAAAGAUCGAAG